rnacentral:rRNA from 1 species
UACGAAGGGGCUAGCGUUGUUCGGAAUUACUGGGCGUAAAGCGCGCGCAGGCGGCUAUCCAAGUCAGUGGUGAAAGCCCCGGAGCUCAACUCCGGAACUGCCAUUGAAACUGUUAGCUUGAGGAUGAGAGAGGUGAGUGGAAUUCCCAGUGUAGAGGUGAAAUUCGUAGAUAUUGGGAAGAACACCGGUGGCGAAGGCGGCUCACUGGCUCAUUACUGACGCUCAGGCGCGAUGAGCGUGGGGAUCAAACAGG